UACGAAGGGAGCUAGCGUUGUUCGGAAUCACUGGGCGUAAAGCGCACGUAGGCGGAUGUGUCAGUCAGGGGUGAAAUCCCGGAGCUCAACCUCGGAACUGCCCUUGAUACAGCACGUCUUGAGUCCGGAAGAGGUGGGUGGAAUUCCUAGUGUAGAGGUGAAAUUCGUAGAUAUUAGGAAGAACACCGGUGGCGAAGGCGGCCCACUGGUCCGGUACUGACGCUGAGGCACGAAAGCGUGGGGAGCAAACAGG
rnacentral:rRNA from 1 species